UAUUUCAGAAGCCUGUCAUGAUUAUGUAACUGAUUCUGCCUAUUCUGAACUCGCCUUCUGAAAUUCAAAGAAACCGAUUACAAACAGUGUAAGACACUGUCUAGGAAAGCUGAUUUAAGUGAAGGAAAAGCAGACUCAUUUGGCAUUUUUUUUUUUUUAAUAUUUAUUUAUUUUUUUAGUUUUCAGUGGACACAACAUCUUUGUUUGUAUGUGGUGCUGAGGAUCGAACCCGGGCCGCACGCAUGCCAGGCGAGCGUGCUACCGCUUGAGCCACAUCCCCGGCCCUCAUUUGGCAUUUUGAAAGGUCCAACCUGGUCACCUAAAGUGAAUCUCUGGUUUUCAUGGCUAAGCGCUAUUCCUUUGAGCUGCUUGGGUGAACCCAGUGUCCUCGUCAGCAGUGAUCAGGUGGACUCCCUGGUAACUGCCGGAGAGCUCUGCUUUGUAGGCACGGACCAUCCUCCCAAUUUCCUCGUCAUUUUUAUUUUUAUUUUUCCCAUUGUUUUUAGAAGAACAAGUCUUAGGCUGCGAUGUUCUUCACAGUGUGUCCUGGAGGCAUGACGAUGACCAUCAUUCACGUUUCCCUGUCCCUGUGUCCACUGAGGGUUCUAAAGCAAAAACACAAAGCAAAAUCCAGAAAGGU
rnacentral:lncRNA from 1 species